CAUUCGACGCAACGCGAAGAACCUUACCAGGCUUGAACCGCCGGUGACAACCCUGGAAACAGGGUCUUCCUUCGGGACGCCGGUAGAGGUGCUGCAUGGCUGUCGUCAGCUCGUGUCGUGAGAUGUUGGGUUAAGUCCCGCAACGAGCGCAACCCUUGCCCUUAGUUACCAUCGGGUCAUGCCGGGGACUCUAGGGGGACUGCCCCGGAAAACGGGGAGGAAGGUGGGGAUGACGUCAAGUCCUCAUGGCCUUUAUGUCUGGGGCUACACACGUGCUACAAUGGGCGGUACAAAGGGUCGCAAUGCCGCGAGGCUGAGCUAAUCCCAAAAAACCGUCCCCAGUUCGGAUUGGAGUCUGCAACUCGACUCCAUGAAGUUGGAAUCGCUAGUAAUCGCGGAUCAGCACGCCGCGGUGAAUACGUUCCCGGGCCUUGUACACACCGCCCGUCACAUCACGAAAGUCGGUUGCACUCGAAGUCGCUGAGCUAACCCGCAAGGGGGGCAGGCGCCUACGGUGUGAUCGAUGAUUGGGGUG
rnacentral:rRNA from 1 species